CACCUUCAGAUGCUCUUGUCUCCCUUCUAUCUCAACCUAACCCUAAUCAUUCUUCAACCACCGCCUCCUUCUCCGGUUAUCUCUGGCGACUACCUUUUAACCCCAAGCCUCCAAUGGUAACCGAUUUGGAUCUAGGGUUUUUGAUUCUAUUAUUCAUGCUUCUCCGGUGUGAUUUUGGGCAAAAUCACACCUUAUAUGUUAC
rnacentral:lncRNA from 1 species